ACCCAGAAAAUCCACCAGACGUUUUAUGGUGGGUUAUUGAAUAAAAGGGUCUGCAUCAUAAAGUCUGGAGGCUACCCGAUCUGAUCUUGGAUGCAUGUUGUCUGAGACUUUUCUUUUAUUUGCCAUUUUCCUUCACCCUUUGUCAUACUUUAGUUUUCUUCAAGGUCCCUCAUAAUGUAGUGGGUGAUAUAUAUAUAUUUUCUCUUUAUGGCAUCCAUUGCUCGGGUUCUUCUAUAUUCCUCAGGUUUUCAUCUUUACCUUGAGAAUCAACUCCAUAUGUUUUAUAUAGUAAGAAAUAUAUAGAAGUCAAACAAGAGGGGAGAGCUUUAGUUUUCCCUGUCGCCACAAGAGUGCAGAGUUGAGUUAUUCAGAAAUAUCUUGUCCCUUUGUGGCAUGCCUGUGACUGUUUUUAAAGCCUAGUCUUAUAGUGCCCUCUUAUGGUUUGUUGUGUGAAGUGGCUUAGUGGUCCAAAUGACUUGUAAAUUGAAGAACACCACCAACAGCCUUAAAUAAAACCACAUGAAAUAGGAGCUUGUUGUUGUUUACAUCGCUGUUUGAGCAAAAUAAUUACACAUCUUCCUUCAGCAAUUCAUUAAGAGACCCGUUUAUUUCAAAGUCUGCGCCUUCAUAAUGUGGAAAAAUGAAUAAAAUAUCAAUCAUCUGUUUCAACAAAGCUGCAUUAGAACUUCAUGUAGAUUUUAAUGUAUCCCUCAGAGAGCAUAGUAUCAGUUAAUAUCAAACUUUGGCAAAAAUGUUACGACUGGCUGGAGUUGUCAAGUUUUACGCUGAGAAAAUGUUACUGCCGACACUUUGAUUUAUUUGAAUGCACUCCACAGAUGAAUCAAACAGAUACAUGUAAUUAGAGCCAUCUGAGCAGCCAGUACUCUAAUAAAUUAAUCCCGCAGACCUUAUCUGGCCAUGUGCUGCAAGAACACACACAGUUUAUUAUACACUUACAGGAUGCCAGUAAUACGGCGGGGUGCUGCCAUCAUGCAAACUGAAGUGUGUGUGUUUUUUCUGGCUCUUGGUUGUGAUGGAUAAAACGAUAAUCCUGAAAGUUAACAAAUUCAUUAUCUUGAUAUCAACUGCAGAACAGGAUGAAAAUGUUCUGGCACUGCAAUUACACUGCCACUGUUCUUGCACUCGUGGCAAAUAAAAAUCAGAAUGUUACACACACACUAGCGACUAAUUAAUGAUUGCUCAUUAUAGUUGCAAAAACUAGAAUUGCAAAUCAAAAGUAGUGUAUGUGGAAGUGAAAUACGAGUGGUGAAAUGCUUUUUGAAGUAUUAAAUGCUUUGCUCUGCUUCUCAGUAAGUGCUUUCUUGUGCAUCAAUAUGCAUAGAUAUGCUCAAAGAAAAUCUGGAUCGGGGAUUUAAAGCUCCUGAGGUUAUGAUUUAGAAUCUCUGGGACCCAAAGUACUCUUAACCUUCACUACCCCCUCAACCUUGAGCAUAAAUCACUUCAAGAUGUCUUACCAAGCCACCCAAUCAGAGCCAAUUAGGGCUAGUUACAGGACUGUAGAGUUUGCCCUUUUCAAAAAAAGAAAAAAGCAAGAGGGAGAGAGAGAGAGAGAGGAUGAGGAAGCUGUCUAUGAAGAGGAGACUUUAAAGGAGGCAGAGAAAGGGUGUCUACUCUAUGUGUGUGAAACAGUCUCUGAAAGGAUAAUGAGUUUUCUUAACAUGCUCUCCUCUGAGUUGGGAUCUGCCAGAAAGUGUGGCAAUUGUUGCUGUGUUGACUAAGCGUAGCUGCGAGUCUAAGCGUCCAAGAGUAUGCAUGGCUGUCUGCUCAUGAAGCACACAGUACAUGCGUGUUGGGUUGGGUCGCCAGGGGACUGAUUUUUAUGAACAAUAGGAGGAGGCUCCUUCCAGAGGGGAGUGCUAAAAGAGAACAUCUGUAUGGGAUCAAGGCAACGGAGAGAAUGAAGGAGAGUUAAAGGUGGGAGGAGAAAGAAAGGGAGGAUUUUGGCAUCGCACUCUAAACUGUGUUUUGGAAAGUACAACGCAGUCCUCUGAAUCAAUAAAAUAGGGAGGUCAUGCAUAUCAGAGCUAAAUGAGAAUCUAAGGGAGGGAAAUAUUCUCCAGCUCUCCUCAAGAUUAUCACGACUGUUGUAUCAAAUAUUUACUUUAUUUUUCCUGCAGCGCGUAUUCAGCAGUAUUGUGAGUGAAAUUUAAACAGAGAUUUUUUAUGUUUCCCAGAACAUGAUGUAAAACAAAGGAGGGCUCUGUUUCCUGUUUGUAUCUCAGUCUCCUGCCGUAGUCUGUUUUCCUCAAGAGAAUGUGUCACUGGUGUCAAGAUAACAUUGUGGCGGCAUCAUGUCCUGAAAGCAGAUUUUGUUUGUUUUGUUUUUUGAUUUUAUAUGUAAAUGCUGUAAGUGAUCACAGAGCCUUAGAAUCUCUCUUUCUAUGGUGUAUGGUGUGUAAUGGAGGAAUUAUUUUCCAUGCCAUGUAUCUGUUUCCUUAGAAAAUUUUACAUUGUUCCUGAGGAUGUGGUGUAUGAUCCACAUAUUGAUCAAGUCAGAGGUCUGGCUGUUGUGGUUUAUUACAUUACUGCCUUCAUUACAUCUUCCUGUGUUGCUCUUUUUGCACUGCUCCCUUGGUGAGAAACUCCAUUCUGGUCCUGCCCUGUCAUUAUAACGCGGAAACCCUCAACCAGGUCUGUCCCGUUUCACACGGUCUUAUGUAAUGGAAGGCAGGGCAUCGAGAUAGCACAAGCCACAGGGUUAAGGAUGAGUAUAAAUAUAUUUCCACGUUUGUCUGUCAUGGAUUCGGGGUCACCACUGGGUCUGUCUGCACACUUCUGGACACGCAGGCCAGGUUGGAUGCAGCAUGUGCAAGAGGAGAAUGACGGGAAACAGAAGAGGAAUUUGGAUGUGGGAGUGGUGACAGAUGGACUGUACGGAGUGUCAUCACACAGAGAUGGAACACUUCUCUUUGUUUGCUGGUCAAAUCAUCGCAGACUUCCAUGAUCUGGAAACCUCACCAACGGAGUCGCUCUGCGCACAGAUUCCUUAACCACACCCUGGUUCCACUAAUGAAAAGGAAAGCAGGAAAGCCUCGCAACGUCCAGGGAUGUUUGUUGAUAGUUUUAUCUUCAUCACAGCUCCUAUCUCAUGCUGUCCCAGAUGACCUCAAGUUAAACUCUUCUAAUGUCAUUAUGUCGAUGUCGUCCUGAAUAUCUUCUCACAUUUUUUAAAAAAUAAUAAUAAUUUAGCUGUUGGAGCACAUAUAAAAGGCUUUAAAAUUACAUGUUUGAAAUAGUGACUUAGACAUGUUGCUGACUCUGCAAUGAAGAUUUUUUUUUAAAUGUAUAUAUAUUUAUUUGGUUUCGAUACUAGAUUCAAAGCAGAGUAAAAAUGCUUUACAUGCACUGUUCCCUCUAAGCUGCGUGCGUGCGCAAUUGCGCACUGCUGACACGGUUUCCGCACACAGAAAAUCUGCGCUGCGCACAAAAAAAAAAAAAAAUCCAACUCAAAUUGUAAAUAAAAUAAACAACAAUUCAUUCUGUGCUAUUUUUCAAUGUGAGUCAGUGAGUGACCGGUGACUGGCUGCUGCAGCCAAUGAUGCGAUUCACAUACGUAUUUACCAUAGACUGUAUAUAAUGGUAUUUACGCAGCUAAUCAACGUCAGGCGUCCUUAUGUGCAGCCACUGUUGUUCUCAUAGAUAUGAAUGAGUAGAUAGGACACGCCCCUUUGAGCUGCGUGCUACAGCGAGGCUAAGCUAGUGGGGGCAAAGUUUCAGUGCAUUCCAUUGAUGUAGACGGCGUGAAAACGGAAACAAGAAGUAUGCCGGCUCACUGUGCUGCAUACAGUUACACACUGCGUCGUACGACUGAGACAAGGAAACUUGGAAUGACUUUUCAUAGGUUUCCCAGAGACUAUGGGUUGAGGAGGAAUUGGAAGUUUGUCGGCUUAGACCUGGUGUCAUUCCAUCAGUGUUAAACUUCCCGGCUCAUCUUGGAAGAGUACGUGCCAGAAAGACCACGACCAAGCAGCCUUGAGAUCUUAGACAGCGUCUCCCUGAGGUCCCUCUCUAUCUCCCCACACAUCCACCAACCACUGGAACACAUCUCCAAAGUUCUGCCGGGCCAGCUCAGCUUCCCCUCAUAAGAAGUGCCGCCACCUGCUGGAUGAAGGAGCCUUUUGAGAGGCAGCUGUCAUCGUGAUUGGACUGUACUUUGGUCUGUUCCAAUCCAGCUUCAGCUCCAGAGACGGCAGGCGGGACGAGUCAACGGAGGCCGGGUGGACGAAGGCAUGCAGCUGAGUACAAUCCAGAAAACAACAGAGGAGGAGUGCAGCAGCCCAGGGCCAGAACAAGCAGAGUAGUAUCGUAUGUCUCUUAGAAAACAUCAUAGUACAGCCUUUGGUAUGAAAAAACAUAAUAAGUAAAUAAAUACAUUUAAAAAUGGUGCUACUUUGGCUCUGAACCUUUAUCUACCUGUGGUCGCUCUGUCUUCUGGAGUGAUUUGAUUGGUUAUACGUAACAAAUAAAACUCCUUAACUUAACAUCUGUAAACAAAACAAAAACAUAUCAACAAAGUUUCCUGUUAGUUUGUGUUCUUCUAAGUUUAACUCAAGAUUUUAAAUACUUUCAUUUACUGCAAAUGAAUAUCUACUCCAAAUGUCUCACUAGUAAUCAUUAUCAGCCUUAAAAACCCACAAAACACCCCUCUAUACUCGACCGCACUUAGUACAGUCUGGUUCCCCCUUCUAUAAAUCUGCUUGGAAUCUUCCACUUCCUGUUUGUCAAAGUGGCCUUCUACCUGGACAGGUUUUGUUGGAGCUCAUGCAACAAACAUUUUGGGUAACUGCACUUUAAUAUGGAUGGAUGACACUGAAUUAGAGUCUGUUUUAAUGAGACUGAGUUAAGAUGUGUAGCUCUGUCAUUAAAUAGGAAAUUAUUUUUCAGAAUUCACAGAGAAAAGUCUAAAAUGUUUGCUAGGUUAGCGUCCCACAUGUUGUUUGGCUCAGCUAAAGCUAACUCUCUCCAACUUCUGGAUCUCUUGAGUUGCUUGUUGUUAAAUUGUCUUGCUAGAGGUGCUGAAGCUCAGAAAGUCUGAGAUGUUUGUUCAAAAUAAGCUCAUUCUCAAGUCUUAUCUGAACUGUCCUCUUUUGUUUUAACUUUCCCUAAACUUAAGAGUUAAUGACAGAGCAGCGCAUUCAGACUCAGUGUCAUUUAUGUAGAGAUUAAACUUCAGUGUCAUUCAUUGAUGAUAAAGUGCAGUUUUUCCAAAUAUUUGUUGCACACGCUCCCGACCAAACCAGUCCAGGUGGAAGACAAUGUGAAGAGAAAGCUCCAGAGGAUGAAUAUCACACAUUUACGUUGGAAAUAAAUGUUCUUUAAUUAGACAUUGUCAUGCAAAAGUUGGAUUUCCCUUCAAUGAUGUUCAAAUCUUUGUUGAGUGCUUUGUUGAUGUUGGUUUCUAAAUGUUUUUUGACACUCGGCCCCAAAGAUUAAAACCUUCUACGGCUCACAAGCUGCAACAAUUCACACAUUAUCAACUAUCUUUCUGACUAAACUAAGAUAAAAAGUGAAAAACUGCCUGAUUCCUGCAUCAUGAAUGUAAAUCUUUUUGUUUUUUAUGACCAUAAACUGAAUAUGUUUGGGCUUGACAUUUUAUAAACCAAAACAAGAAAUGAAUUACUGGAGAAAACGACAGAUUAAUGGACAAAGAAAAUGUGUUUUCUAACAUAUAUGGCUGAAUUACUCCAACAUUACAAGAUACAUACAAUUUUAGUUCAAUUUUAUUUAUAUAAUGCCAAUUACAGGUCAAAUUGUCUCAAGAUGCUUUAUUUUUUUUUUUUUUUUUGUCAUAUUUAAAAUAUGACAAAGUCAAGACAAGUCCCACGACGACAAGAAUAAAGUUUCUCAACAAAAACUAAAUCUGCUGGUGGAUUCCAUUAAAGUCCUAAUAAAUGAUAAUAAAGUGUGAUACUAAAGGUUUGUGGUGCUAAAAAUGUCAAAGAUAUCAAGUUGAACAUCUGGAUGGAGGUUGAUAAAAGUUGACCUUUCAUUUCUCUGGAGCCGACUCCAUGGAUUUUAUGGAUGGUGGUUAAAGACCUGCUCUUCUAGUCGUCUUCCUUCUAGUCGCUGUAAAAAGUCAGUCCAUCCUGGCCGACUUCAACACCUCUUCAUGACAACUUGUUCUGCCUCCGACCUCGUGGAAACUCCAGAAACUCGGGAAAACCCGUGGAGACUCGAAGAACUCGUGGAGACUCGAAGAACUCGUCAGGCGGGGGAAGGUGUGGUGGGCGGUGGGGGGAGGUGGGG